GUAGGACAGCCAAACCUAACAAAUACUGGUUUCCUUUUAGUCGUUGACUGCAAUGUUAAGGGAGAACGCAACGCUUUUUGACAGUAUUCAUCUUAAAGGAGGCACUUUCACCACAAACCAGAAGUCAGAAGAGUGACCAUAGGACCCUGAGCUCAUCCUGGGCAUCCACUCUUUGUGUUCUAAUCAAGCAAAGGAAGAGAGAGAAAAAGCAGACAUGAUGGCAGUCAGGCUGUUCCUGUUCCAGCAGGACCAUGGCCCUGUAAAGCUUAAAGGCACGGUUGGAUGAGUUUGGUGUGAAAAAAACUUGGUGACCCUUGACCUCACAAAUGUUCUCAAAGCACCCAUAGGAAGAAUGAAAGCUUUU